CAUAGGCAGGGUGCAUGAGUGCAUGUGUCUUGCAUUACACUGCACUUUGGAGUAGGCAGAAGUAGUGCAGAAAUCUCCCUCCUGUCCUCCAAGUCCUUGGGCAAACAUGUGGGGGAAGGCUGGUCAAAUGAGCUUCAGAGAAAGCUGAAUCUUCUCUUGGGUUGUCUGCAAUUUCAGAUAACUUGGGGGAGAAGAUCUGUGUGCUGUUGAUGCCCUGACAAGGGCAGGUGAGUGAUGGCAGAGGGCCUGAAACAUUCUUUCCUGGGGAUUUGUGGAAUCCUGGCUGGAAGCAUGCCCAAAAAAGGAUUGCACAGGACCAUGCAUAACUAUCUUCUUGUUCUAUGCUGUCUUUACCAACCCUGAUAAUCCCAUUAACUGCUCAGACUAGAGAAUGCCAACAUAGGAAUUGACCCUAAAGUUACUUAUGCUUGUCAACUCUUCUGAACCAGAAGUUCAGGGCUAAUAUUCCAGUAGCUAAGAUAUUAAAAUUAUAAUGGCUAGAAAGCAAGACGUGUACUCAUGGGUUCUGGAGAUGUGAACUUAAUUUAACUAUUUAGGUUCUCAGCCCAUCCCAAUAACUUGACUUGGCUGUAAAAAAAACCCUCUGGAGUAUUUUUGCUUCUUUAGCACUAGAGGGAGCAGAGUAUCCACCUGUCCAUCUUCCACUCACGGGAGCCACCAACUUCAGAUACACAGGCGGCAUUCAGGUGUGGGAUUUAUUACGUUAGUUUUACUGAUUAUAAUGCUAGUGCUUCUGUCCUGGUUCCUGGUGUUCCUUUUAAUACUGUAUUACCUGUUGCAUUAUGGAACUGUGGCUGUGAUCAACAUGCCACCAUGUACCACUGUAUUUCAUUCACACCAGUAUCUGUGGUUGUCACAACUAAUAUCACCACUCUCCCACUCUUUCUGUGCAUAUGCACUUCUUUUCCCCUAUGAUUAAUCAUGUAGUAUGCCAAAAUACCUUCCAAAAUUUCAUUACAUGAGCAGUGGGGCACGAUCUCUAAAAACUGCAGGAAUCUUACAACUCAAAACUCCCAUGAUUUUCCAGGUUGCCAAGAUUGCAAUCAGUUGUUUUUUUUCUGGAAACAAUUAACAUGGAAGUGAAUGCUAAACAUGGGCUAGAUUUCUAGAAGUAGUUUUUACAUUGUGUGAAAGGUCAUAUAAAAUGCAAUAAUUAACAGAUAAGGAAACAUCAAGAAGAUGGAGUCAUAAAGUAAGCAAGUAGAUAACUUUCUGUAUCAUCUAGGUGGAGGCUUUUAUGUCCAGGGCCAAUGUGUAAGUCUUUGUGAUCCUAGUUCCUGAUCCUAGUUCCUGAUCGUGUGUGCUUGUGUGUUUGCAUGUAUAAUAACUACUAGGUUCUCCAUUUAAGAAAAUUCUGAAAUUUCUGGAAAGUAUUAGAAACCUCUGAUCAGAAAGUCUGAAGAAUGACUAAAGGAUUUUACUAAGUCCAUGUAGUUUCAUCCUUGCUUCUGUCAUCUAGUGGUGCAUAUCAUUUAUUGGUACAUAGCAAGGCACUUGCUAAAUAUUUAGAACAUAUUCUUCUCUGACAUUUAGGAGAAUAUUUGAAACCAUUUGAUCCCUUCAGAACUACUGGAUCCCUUCAGAAAAUGAUCCCAGUUAUCCUCCUUCUCUCUUAAUAUGUAGCUAGUUUUGUCGGGUGGUCAUUUUCAGAAAGGGAGUCUGUCAACCCAACACCUCAAUACCCAUCUUUCAAAGUGGCCCAUUAUGGCAGCUGAUGGCCCCCUUACACCCCUCCUGCAUUGGCAGCUCUGGGCCUCAUGGAGUUCUAAUCAUUUUUGGCCUGUGGCCACUGAAUUCUAAUCCCACCCACCAAACCCCUUACACCAAAUUUACAAUAUUUUACACAAGGUUUUUGUCUGCAUCAGUAUAUUUUCUUUACACACCCUUAUCUCUGGUAAUACACAAGUCAUCUUUGUACAUUUUUAAUUGCCCAUGGUGAAAAUUUCCAGCUCACAGAAAUGGCACUGGACAAUAGUGAUAAAGAGAAGAAAUCUGAUGCAACAUCUGAUCAUCUGUGCUGUCUUGCGCAGAGGCCUGUCUAGUCUUACAUAGGGGAUGGAGGGGCGAUUAUAAGGAAACAAUGAUGAAAUUAAAACAGUUGCCUAAGGUGGUAGUUGUCAGGUUUUCUGACAUUUUUACCAUUAACCUCCUAAAAUAUUAAAAGGGUAAAGAGUAACAUUCACAGAGUUUCUGAAUAUUUGCCAUAUACACCAUUGGACCACAUCAUCAAGCUUUACUUUUGGGAUUUAACAUGACAAUAAGAAACCCUAGUGGAGCUGGACAGCACUAAUGGUUAUUAUUGUAUCUGUCUUGUUUUAAUCAGUGGAAGCCGUGUUGAGUCCCGGUUUGAGGAAAAGUUGGG